GAUGAAGAACGCAGCGAAAUGCGAUACGUCAUGUGAAUUGCAGAAUUCAGUGAAUCAUCGAGUCUUUGAACGCACAUUGCGCCCCCUGGUAUUCCGGGGGGCAUGCCUGUCCGAGCGUCAUUGCUGCCCUCAAGCACGGCUUGUGUGUUGGGCCGUCGUCCCCCUCCUAGGGGACGGGCCCGAAAGGCAGCGGCGGCACCGCGUCCGGUCCUCGAGCGUAUGGGGCUUCGUCACCCGCUCCGUAGGCCCGGCCGGCGCUUGCCGACGACCAUCAAUCUCUUUCUCCAGGUUGACCUCGGAUCAGGUAGGGAUACCCGCUGAACUUAAGCAUAUCAAUAAGCGGAGGA
rnacentral:misc_RNA from 1 species